ACCUGAACAUGGCAACAAGAACAAAUCUACUACUAAGAAAUCAAGUAAGCAAGUUCAUGUUGCAUAUGGAACAGAAGAAGAAGAAGAAGAAGAAGAAGAAGAAGAAGAUGAUGAUGAUGAUGAUGAUGCCAAAAUCUGGAGAUACCACUUCAUCUAAGGGAUAACAUGGUUAAUGAUAUGAUCCAGAAACCAUAUGCUACAUGAGAUAUCAAGAUACAUAAGCAUAUGAGAACAGUUGAAACUUGCAUCUCCCAGAAGAAAAAGAGAGACAAAGAAACAAAUUUCUUUACUCUUCUUUGCUAGAAUAGCUAGUGACAUCUCCCAGAAGAAAAAGAGACAAAGAAACUUGCAUCUCCCAGAAGAAAGUGACAAUGGAGUGACAUCCACAGGAAGACUGCCACCACCCAGGGUUGCAGCUCCCUCCCUCCCCACUGCAACAGUUUCAUCAGGUUCACUCUCUUGCUUGGAUUUCUUCCCUCCCAAGAACUUGGCAGCUCUGCCAGCAUCCAAGCUCACUGGAUUGGGAAUUUGUCUCUGUUCUUUGCUGGCACUCCACAGGCUUUCAGCUGUUCCAACCACUGAGUCUGAUCUAUUUUACCAAGUAUCUGUUGACAAUUCUACAGCAUUAGUAUUUACUUCCAAUAAACAUCUUGUGAGCAUGUAAUCCAACUUAA